CUAUCCAAAAUGAGCACAAAAUCGAUAACCGUCAAACAGCUGUAACCACUAACAAAUGAACAUCAAUAACAGUUGUGCAAAAACAAAAAUGUAAACAACAAAGAUCGGGUCGCUCUACCUCACGCGAUCAGCUGAUGUCGUCCCCCUCAUUUUGGUCAUUAGAUGGCAUUCAUCAGUCCGUGUCGGCAUUCAUGCCCCUUCCCCCCAUCAAUGGAUAAUUAGUCGGACAUUGUUUUCUCUAUUUUAACAGAAUAUCACCACUCGGCUUGCAUCUGAUGGUAAAUCAUCAUUUGUCUUCAACAGAUCCUCGGAAAUGAGUUUGAAGGCGAAACGUCAUCCACCAAAUCUUUGACCCCCAUUUCCACCAACGAGGAAUACAUUCUUGGAAAAGUGUUAAACACCCCUCAAAUGAAUUCGAACAAAAAACUUUGAAAUUGAAUUUGAGGCCAAUCGGAUGGUAAACAAAAAAGUUUCAUACAUACGAUUUUCGCGAUUUUCCAUACUUGUGGGUGGAAUUUUCCGAAACCUCAUCUUAACGUACACUUUUAUCAGAUAAGACGCAAUAACUAUUGGAGACUUCCCUCCAUUGUCGGAGAUCAUUGAAGUUUUCUUAAAAGGGAUCUCAAAUAUGAGUCUACUUCUGCCUCUGCCUGUUGGGGCGUCAUUGUUGCCGCUUCGUCUCCUAGUCGACUCUCGGUGUCAGCGACGGGGCGAAAACACGUUGGCAUCGACGUGCCUUCCAGCGCGGUUGCCUCUCGCGUCGAUGACGUUGGCUGGGCUACAGAUGACGUGCUUGUGAGCUGGGAAAAACAGCCUGUCGUCCUCUGCAUUACUCUUUGGCUGGCACUUUUAAUAUUAUUUUUUUCCCCUUUUUAUUUUGUUAUGGUUCCUACCAGCCUCUGAUAACUUUGAGGCUGGGCUGGGCACUAAAUGUAUUGAUAAAUUUUGGCGCACGAAAUAAAAUUUUACUUAUUAUGUUUCACCACGAAA